rnacentral:rRNA from 1 species
GACGAACGCUGGCGGCGUGCUUAACACAUGCAAGUCGAACGGCAAGGCCCUGCUUUUGUGGGGUGCUCGAGUGGCGAACGGGUGAGUAACACGUGAGUAACCUGCUCUUGUCUUUGGGAUAACUUCAGGUAACUGGGGUUAAUACCGGAUAGGAGCUCCUGCUGCAUGGUGGGGGUUGGAACGUUUCGGCGGUUGGGGAUGGACUCGCGGCUUAUCAGCUUGUUGGUGGGGUAGUGGCUUACCCAGGCUUUGGCGGGUAGCCGGCCUGGGAGGGUGACCGGCCACAUUGGGACUGAGAUACGGCCCAGACUCCUACGGGAGACAGCAGUGGGGAAUAUUGCACAAUGGGCGGAAGCCUGAUGCAGCAACGCCGCGUGCGGGAUGACGGCCUUCGGGGUGUAAACCGCUUUCGCCUGUGACGAAGCGUGAGUGACGGUAAUGGGUAAAGAAGCACCGGCUAACUACGUG